rnacentral:miRNA from 1 species
UAUUGGGAACAUUUUGCAUAUG